GCAGCAUCAUCAAGAUUCUCA
rnacentral:miRNA from 2 species